GAGGGUAUAGCUCAGUGGCAGAGCAGCAUGUUUAGCAUGCAUGAGGUCAUGGGCUCGAUCCCCAGUACCUCUU
rnacentral:tRNA from 1 species